AUGAGCCCAGGACCCAGUAGAGCCAGAAUCUGUCAAGCUGUCCAGGUACUGUUUGCAAAUGGAACAACAUUGAAAAGUUAUCAAAAGGAAUACAGGAAAAAGGAGCCCCCUUCCUACCUGAUCCACCAGCCACUGGAGGCAGCCACAUUAUGGGUGUUCAUGCAAACUUCAGAGACAGGCAAAUUGUGGUUUUUUGGUUUUUUGGUUUUUGGUACUGGGGAUCAAACUCGGGAUGUGCAUUUUAUUUUUUUAAAUUAUAAGAGGGGGAGAGGAGAGGGGACAUUUGGGGAGAAUAAGUUGGGGAGGGGUGUGCCAGGAAGCCUCCAGCCUCUCCUCCCUCCCACUACUGCUGUGGCUCAGAACACUGAGGCCUAGGGAGGGAGAGGGCUCCAUCCACCACCCCAUGCUGAGCCCUUCCUCCUCCUUCAAGGUCUGGGGACUGGGGGAGACAGGGUUGGGGAGGGGGACAGGCCACUACUGAGCCCCCAACUCCUGGGAUCAGGAAGCAUGAAAGCUGCCCAGGAAGAAGGGACAGGCAGCUGACAUGAGGCUCAGCAUCAGUGGCAGCCCCCAAAGGCAAAUUGUGGAGGACAAAAGGACCCAUUGGGUGGGGAGGACCCGAGUCUGGGGAACCUCGAGGAAGACAGCUGGGCCAGCUGUUCAGGGCAGGCCAGGGCGUGCAGCAGGGGGUUCUCCUGCUCCAGUGGGACUGUGAUCCUCCAGGUCCCAAAUCUGUUCUUUCAGCACCUGCAUGUCCUCUCGACCAGCAAUCAUGAUGUGGAACUUCACCAGAUCCAUGGCUUUUUUGAUCUUGUUGUCAAUGCCAGUCAGCAUCCUGGAGCUAAGUGGUUUCCUGCACUGUCAAGUGUAGUCUGUCUGUGUGCUGGAGACUCAAAGGAGCAAGUCAAAGUCCUGGAGCCACUGUAGUUCCCCUAUGAGUUGAUAUUAGGAGGCCAAGGCGUUUGUCCUAGAAGCCAGGAGAUGCCAGCAAAAGUGAAGGUGAAGAUUGCAGCUCCUCAGAGGCAACCCUGGGAUGCACAUUUUAAAUGGUGUCUUUGUAAACUGGUGUGGUGGUAUAGGCUGUAAUCCUAGCACUCAGGAGGCCGAGGCCAGCUGGGACUACAUAAAUGCAUUUUGAGAUCCUGUCUCAAAAAUAACUAAUGAGGAGGUAUAACUGUAUUUUAUACCUAAAAUGUACCAAUAAACUUAAUGGGGGAAAAAAAUAACUAAUUAGGGGCUGGGAUUUAGCUCAGUGGUUCCACCACCUGCCUCGAAAGCGCAAGGACCCGAGUUUGAUCCCCAGUACCAAAAAAUAAAUAAAUAAAUAAAGAGGGCCAGGGAUUUAGUUCAGUGGCACUGCGCCUGCCUUGAAAGCGCCAGGUCUUGAUUUCGAUCCCCACUACCAAAAACCCCACAAAACUAACAAACUAACUAACUAAAUAAAUAAGUAAAACGGAGCCUUUGUAAUCCCGAUCCUGGGCAUUCCUGAGCACUACUCCACUGAACAAUCAGCAAAAGUCUUCCCCACUGCCCAAUCAACCUUCUCUAGCCAGCAGUUUAGACUCACUGAAGCAGAAAACAAAUUUUGGCUCUCUUCAAAGGGCAAGCAGGAUGGGAGGUGGCAGAGGACAGGGGUGACACACAGGGGAAGUGCAAUAGAUCCCACCAUGCCCACCCCCAGUCUCUUAGACCAUCUACAUGUAAACCCAGGGUAAGUGCAGAAGCAGGAGACAGUAUCCUC
rnacentral:lncRNA from 1 species